rnacentral:misc_RNA from 1 species
CAGAGUUCUCGCCCUCGCGGGUAGAUCUCCCACCCCUGUGAUUGCUGCCUUUGUUGCUUUGGCGGGCCGCCUUUCUGGUCCCGAGCGCCCGCCAAAGGCCCCCGACCCUGAUGGUGUGUGUCGUCUGAGUGCUAUUGUAAUAGUUA